GUAGUCAUAUGCUUGUCUCAAAGAUUAAGCCAUGCAUGUCUAAGUAUAAGCAAUUAUACAGCGAAACUGCGAAUGGCUCAUUAUAUAAGUUAUCGUUUAUUUGAUAGUACCUUACUACUUGGAUAACCGUGGUAAUUCUAGAGCUAAUACAUGCUAAAAAUCCCGACUUCGGAAGGGAUGUAUUUAUUAGAUUAAAAACCAAUGCCCUCCGGGGCUCACUGGUGAUUCAUGAUAACUCCUCGAAUCGCAUGGCCUUGCGCCGGCGAUGGUUCAUUCAAAUUUCUUCCCUAUCAACUUUCGAUGUUUGGGUAUUGGCCAAACAUGGUUGCAACGGGUAACGGAGGGUUAGGGCUCGACCCCGGAGAAGGAGCCUGAGAAACGGCUACUACAUCCAAGGAAGGCAGCAGGCGCGCAAAUUACCCAAUCCCGACUCGGGGAGGUAGUGACAAUAAAUACUGAUACAGGGCUCUUUUGGGUCUUGUAAUUGGAAUGAGUACAAUUUAAAUCCCUUAACGAGGAACAAUUGGAGGGCAAGUCUGGUGCCAGCAGCC
rnacentral:rRNA from 1 species